rnacentral:rRNA from 1 species
CCUACGGGAGGCAGCAGUGAGGAAUAUUGGUCAAUGGGCUUACGCCUGAACCAGCCAAGUCGCGUGAGGGAAGACUGCCCUAUGGGUUGUAAACCUCUUUUGUCAGGGAGCAACGCCGGCUACGUGUAGCCGGACUGAGAGUACCUGAAGAAAAAGCAUCGGCUACCUCCGGGCCAGCGGCCGCGGUAAUAGGGAGGAUGGGGGCGUUAUCCGGAGUUAUUGGUUUUAAAGGGUGCGUAGGAGGAAGGCAAGCUCAGCGGUAAAAUCGCGGGGCUAAACCUGGAGCCGCCGUUGAAACUGGCGUUCUUGAGAGUGGGAGAGGUAUGCGGAAUGCGUGGUGUAGCGGUGAAAUGCUUAGAUAUCACGCAGAACUCCGAUUGCGAAGGCAGCAUACCGGACUACAACUGACGCUGAAGCACGAAAGCGUGGGUAUCGAACAGGAUUAGAUACCCCAGUAGUC